rnacentral:rRNA from 1 species
UAUUGCACAAUGCAGGAAACCCUGAUGCAGCGACGCCGCGCGAGCGAUGAAGUGUUUCGGUAUGUAAAGCUCUACCAGCAGGGAAGAANAUGACGGUACCUGACUAAGAAGCCCCGGCUAACUACGUGCCAGCAGCCGCGGUAAUACGUAGGGGGCAAGCGUUAUCCGGAUUUACUGGGUGUAAAGGGAGCGUAGACGGCUGUGCAAGCCAGAUGUGAAAGCCCGGGGCUCAACCCCGGGACUGCAUUUGGAACUGCGUGGCUUGAGUGUCGGAGAGGCAGGCGGAAUUCCUAGUGUAGCGGUGAAAUGCGUAGAUAUUAGGAGGAACACCAGUGGCGAAGGCGGCCUGCUGGACGAUGACUGACGUUGAGGCUCGAAAGCGUGGGGAGCAAACAG